CUGGAGGCGCAGCUACCAUGCAGUCGAGCGGAGAGAGGUAGCUUGCUACUGAUCUUAGCGGCGGACGGGUGAGUAAUGCUUAGGAAUCUGCCUAUUAGUGGGGGACAACAUUUCGAAAGGAAUGCUAAUACCGCAUACGUCCUACGGGAGAAAGCAGGGGAUCUUCGGACCUUGCGCUAAUAGAUGAGCCUAAGUCGGAUUAGCUAGUUGGUGGGGUAAAGGCCUACCAAGGCGACGAUCUGUAGCGGGUCUGAGAGGAUGAUCCGCCACACUGGGACUGAGACACGGCCCAGACUCCUACGGGAGGCAGCAGUGGGGAAUAUUGGACAAUGGGCGCAAGCCUGAUCCAGCCAUGCCGCGUGUGUGAAGAAGGCCUUAUGGUUGUAAAGCACUUUAAGCGAGGAGGAGGCUACUUUAGAUAAUACCUAGAGAUAGUGGACGUUACUCGCAGAAUAAGCACCGGCUAACUCUGUGCCAGCAGCCGCGGUAAUACAGAGGGUGCAAGCGUUAAUCGGAUUUACUGGGCGUAAAGCGCGCGUAGGCGGCUAAUUAAGUCAAAUGUGAAAUCCCCGAGCUUAACUUGGGAAUUGCAUUCGAUACUGGUUAGCUAGAGUGUGGGAGAGGAUGGUAGAAUUCCAGGUGUAGCGGUGAAAUGCGUAGAGAUCUGGAGGAAUACCGAUGGCGAAGGCAGCCAUCUGGCCUAACACUGACGCUGAGGUGCGAAAGCAUGGGGAGCAAACAGGAUUAGAUACCCUGGUAGUCCAUGCCGUAAACGAUGUCUACUAGCCGUUGGGGCCUUUGAGGCUUUAGUGGCGCAGCUAACGCGAUAAGUAGACCGCCUGGGGAGUACGGUCGCAAGACUAAAACUCAAAUGAAUUGACGGGGGCCCGCACAAGCGGUGGAGCAUGGUGGUUUAAUUCGAUGCAACGCGAAGAACCUUACCUGGCCUUGACAUAGUAGACUUUCCAGAGAUGGAUUGGUGCCUUCGGGACUUACAUACAGUGCUGCAUGGCUGUCGUCAGCUCGUGUCGUGAGAUGUGGUAGUCCGCACGAGCGCAUCAUUUCUUAUUUGCAGCGAGUAUGUCGACUUUAGAUCUGCAUGACACUGGAGAGCGGACGACGUCAGUCAUCAUGGCCUACGGCAGCUAACACGUCCUACAUGUCGUUACAAGGGUGGCCUACCU
rnacentral:rRNA from 1 species